UCGAGUUCAGCUUGGACAGCAGAUCCACCAGCUUCUGCACGCCUGCCUGGUACUCCGCUUCCUUCCGUCGAUCGCUCCGCCGCCGCCGCCAUCCCACAAAACCAGAGCAGAGCGAAAAACCCUAACCAACAGCCCCGAUCCAAAGAAAGAGAGAAGAAGAGCAUCAGGAGGCGUUUAGAGUAAUGGAGCGGACGGCGUACUCUCGCACGAACCACUCCGCAUCUCCUGCUCCCUGGUCUGCUCGAUUCCCACCAAACCCCGCUCGUCCAGAUCUAAAUCCGGCGCUCCAAUGCCCGAGGCGCCACCGCCGGCGCUGCUGCCACUGCAGGCGGCGGCGAGCGCUUCGGCGGCCGUCCUCCUGCCGCGAGCGUGGCGGCGGCGCCUUCGGGGGUUGCUGGGGGCGCGCUGGUAAUGCCGUGGCUGGCUUCCUGUAGUUAGCUAUGAGUGUCUCAUGGCUGCUGAGGGGAAUGAAAGUCUGAUGACUCGGCGGUUCCCAAUUCAAAAUUUUGGCCCAGCAUGUGUGUGCCAGUUCUUUUCAUUUCGCAAUCUGGCUUGCUCUAGAAUUUAUCUUAGGAUGAAGGCGGGGAGCUAGAGUGUUCCUAGCUGCGAUAAUAUUUCAUUCCUAUCUAAAAAGCACACACUAAGUUUCCUUAGUACUACUGUUCAUAAGAUCUUCAAUUCCUGUCAUCACGUUAUCCUGGAGCUAAAGUAUUAGGGUAAUGUAACUCUGGAAUGCCAUGAAAAUGACCUUUUAUAAUAGAAGCUGUCCACUUUUUGGUGCUGGAUUUAGUAAAAUUUUGCUGAGGCGUGAUUCAUAUUGUUGAAAUAUUUGAAGGAAGAGGCGGCUGGUGCUGCAAAAGAGAAGAGGCCUCACAGGGUUAUGCUCACCUGUCUACUCGCCUUGGCAGCCCAUGCCUUGGGAGAGCUACACUUCUGAUCCUCUUUCAUUUUGUUGCUAAAGGGCUGCUGGCAGUUUUAGCCAUCCCAAGGAUACUGUACUGGAGUUGGAAUUUCAGGGCAUCAAAAAGCAAUUUGCUAUGCUCCAGGAACACUACGAAAUGAUUGUGAUCAUGAGAUAUUUGCAGCUGCAAUAGACAUAAAUAACAUGGGCAAUAGAAAUCUAACUAGCUUCAAGUAUGAUACAUGGUUAUGUGGUGCAUCAUCCAAAAAAUUGGCACCUAACCACUUCGAAAUAUAAAAUCCUUAGCUUUGAGCUCGAUUGGCACUACAAUGCUAAAAAUUAGGUGGUUGACAUCAACGACUACUUCACCCCACAAAUGCUCCUGGAUAACAUGGCACUUCAUGCAAAACUCAUGCUACACAAAUGGCAAAGCGACUAUUCUACUAUUGAUUCAACAGCAUGGCGAUUCUCAGCUGAUGGUCAAUAUUCGAUUAUGAUUGAAUGUGCAAACCGUGGGUCCCAUCAAAAUGUAAAUUCUUUGUUUGU